GCGCCUGUAGCUCAGCUGGAUAGAGCAACGGACUUCUAAUCCGUUGGUCGAGAGUUCG
rnacentral:tRNA from 1 species